GACGAACGCUGGCGGCGUGCCUAAUACAUGCCAGUUGAGCGCUGAAGGUUGGUACUUGUACCAACUGGAUGAGCAGCGAACGGGUGAGUAACGCGUGGGGAAUCUGCCUUUGAGCGGGGGACAACAUUUGGAAACGAAUGCUAAUACCGCAUAAAAACUUUAAACACAAGUUUUAAGUUUGAAAGAUGCAAUUGCAUCACUCAAAGAUGAUCCCGCGUUGUAUUAGCUAGUUGGUGAGGUAAAGGCUCACCAAGGCGAUGAUACAUAGCCGACCUGAGAGGGUGAUCGGCCACAUUGGGACUGAGACACGGCCCAAACUCCUACGGGAGGCAGCAGUAGGGAAUCUUCGGCAAUGGACGAAAGUCUGACCGAGCAACGCCGCGUGAGUGAAGAAGGGUUUCGGAUCGUAAAACUCGGUUGGUAGAGAAGAACGUUGGUGAGAGUGGAAAGCUCAUCAAGUGACGGUAACUACCCAGAAAGGGACGGCUAACUACGUG
rnacentral:rRNA from 1 species